rnacentral:rRNA from 1 species
GACGAACGCUGGCGGCGUGCCUAAUACAUGCAAGUCGAACGCAGUUGCGAACGGGUGAGUAACGCGUAGGUAACCUGCCUCAUAGCGGGGGAUAACUAUUGGAAACGAUAGCUAAUACCGCAUACUGUGAGAUGGACCUGCGUUGUAUUAGCUAGUUGGUGAGGUAAAGGCUCACCAAGGCGACGAUACAUAGCCGACCUGAGAGGGUGAUGGGCCACACUGGGACUUAGACACGGCCCAGACUCCGACGUGAGGCAGCAGUGGGGAAUAUUGCACAAUGGGCGCAAGCCUGAUGCAUCCAGGCCGCGUGUAUGAAGAAGGCCUUCGGGUUGUAAAGUACUUUCAGCGGGGAGGCGUUACCCUCAGAAGAAGCACCGGCUAACGCCGUGCCAGCAGCCGCGGUAAUUC